AGGCAACUCGGCUCUUCCAUGCAUAAGAUGCGGAAAGCAAAUCAAGCUGAGUUAUGUGAUAAAAGGCACAUGGCGCGGUUCUGCCUCUGCCUUCCCCAUGGAGGUCUGGAAGCGUGCUCUUGCUUUCAGGCACGCGAUCAUCACCGGCAGAAUAAUGAUGCUGUCUUUGCUGUGGUUUAGACCUUGAAUGAAAAAUGGUGACGAUAAUGAGGGUAAUACUUUGAAGUAGCUGAAGAUCCACAAAUCAUGUUCGUGUUUAAAAAAACCCCCCAAACCAGAAAUCUCUCCAAAGAAGUCUGUUAGAACGUUUUGACAGAACAGAUGCUGCUUAAAGAGUACAAACAGAUUUUUAACCAAAAAGAAAAAAAGGAAAAAAGUUUUGAGUGGGGGUGGGUAGUAAUCGUUAAGGGUACUGUAAUGGAAUAUUAAUGAUUCCCAGACAUUCUAUUUUUUAUGUCAUCAUGAAGAAGUGCUACAGGAUUGCAUAUUCAGAUGAAUCCGUAGAAUUUUGAAUGUUUGUAUGUUUGGAGUUUUUUAAAUAGCACAAUCCAUCACAAUUGGUACUGCUAUGGCUAAAGCAUGAAGGGAGUAUAAUUGGUACAAUUUUAACUGGUUACAUAGUGACUUUAACUAUCUUCUUUUUUUGCUCAUGAUGUACUAGAGGGGACUGGGAGUUUCCUUAGGAGUGAUGUUCUUUCAACAGGUCUGGGAUCCAAGGGUUAAUGGGCUAUCAUGGCAGUUAUGUUGUCCUAAAUGUGGAUUCCAUUAAGGAACAGAGGAACAUUUUUAACUUGAAGUGUUUGUAGCUGGUAGCUUUAUAGCUAAAGUAUCUCAUAAAGGAAGACAGUGUGUUUUGUGAUUGUAGUUAUACUUCACUAUGUAAAGAUCAGUUGUGUGAAAAUGACUCAAAAAGGUAAAAAUGAGCAAAAAGCAAAAUAAAAGUGAAAUAAAAAUAAAUAGCUAGAAUAGGUGGCUGUUAGAGUAUGUGUCAUUAACCUCACAUUUUAACUUAAACCCUCAUUUAGUGCCUUAUUUAAUAAUAAUCAGUUUUUUUGGCCUUCAUCUCUUUGGCAUAUUGUAAACUAUGCAUGUGUAGACACAGGUCAGUGUCAGUAUCAUGCAGCAGCUGUUUGACACUGGGGAUGGGACAGGUCACUAGGCUCUGGCUGUCUUGCAGCCAGCUCUUCAUUGACAGCCACUCCAAUGAAUUUUUCUUUCUUCCAUUUUUUUUCCCUUUGUAUGGGGGAUUGAUAAAUCAUUGAGCAACAACAUCCCCAGCCCUUUAAUUUUUACUUUGACACAGGGCCUUCCUAAAUUGCUGAGGCUGACUUUGAGCUCAUGAUCCUCCUGCCCCAUCCUCCUGAGUUGCUGGGAUUACGGGCAUGUAUCACUAUGCCCCGCUUCAGUUAAUUUUUCUAAAACAAAACACAGGCAUUUAGGUUGUUUCAACUUGAAGCUGUUUUGAAGAAAGUUAUUUUCUCAGUUUGACCGUGAGUUAGAUGAAUGAAGUUGCAGGCAUUGUUGUUAGGUAUGUGUUGGUAGCAGAAGUCAUUUGAUAAUGAGGGGAAGAGAAAAUAAACCUGAAGGGUAGGAGGUCUUUAAAUGGAACAGCUGGAGCUAUUCUGAGGCCAGGUGAGCGAGCCUAGAGUCCUAGUCCUAGUCCUCAGCUUCUCAGAGCUGCUGCAUUACAGCUCAGCAGGGCAAUGCAAGGUCUCAGUGAGUCAUCAGAAAUGUUACAUUAUGUUUACUUAGUUUGAUUAAGGCAGUGUGAAAGAGAUUUGGAGAGAUUGCCAACAAAACUAUUUUAUACAGACUUUGGCAUUUAAAGAAAUUAGCUUCAAUCAGAAAAUACACUAAUUAGAAUAGUUCAUUUCUCUACUCCAAACCAUUCUUGAACUCCAUUCUCUGUCAGUGUUAAAUUUCUACUGUUAUUACACUCCACCCUCUCCAUCUGUGUAUUCAACUAACCAUGGAUUAAAAAUACCUGGGGAAAAAAUUGCAUGCAUACUAAGUAUGUAUAGACUUUUUCCUUAUUACCAAAACAAUACAGCAUAACAGUUAUUUACAUUGUAUUAGGAAUUGUAAGCCAUCUAGAGAGGAUUGAAAGUAAGCAAGGUUAUGCAUUAAAUUAUAGGCAAAUACUAUACCUUUGUAUCUAUAGGACCUGAACAUCCUCAGAUUUUCGUAUCCAUGAGAGUGGGGAUUGGUUCCUGGAACCAAUACCCAGUGGAUUCCAAGGAUUGGUUGCAUUUUAAAGUUUUCAUUUGAUUUAGUUGUUUACGCUGCUGUCAAAUUUUUUAUAGAUAACAGCAUAUUUCAUUUUCCUGAAAUAUUGCUCACUUAGGAACACCCAAAGCCAUAUUUAUCCACACUUUAUGUGAAAUUAUUUGGGGGAUAAUGCAGAUACAUGAACCUUCCCCUUCACAGCAUUACCAUCUUAUAUCUGGUUGGAGGCAUAUGUAUCUGCAGUUCUCCCCCAUCACCUCCCAGAUGAACCAUUGAAAACAGUGCUGUGACCUUCACACUUUUUUCCCUGUAAAAUGAAAGAUGUCCAUUUGUACACCAUUGGAAAAUUAAGUUCAGUACGUGCUUCUACGGAAAGUCACUUUCUAAGUCAUGAAGUCACUUAAUUCUAGGUAUGGGUAAGUUGUUACUUUUCUCAUUUUCUUUCUUUUACUCCCAGAAACGUAAAUCAAAGGUAAAUCUGUAUACCCAAGUUACAUUGAAGAGUUACUUGCAUUUCAGGUUGUUAGUCAUGGGUUAUGGCUUAGGCAAAAAAGAAAUCUUUGAAUAGAGUUAUGGAUUUUGAGACCAUAUUAGUUUUGAUUAGAUGAUGUUUCCUGUCACUUUUGUGAGAUCUCCUUGCCUCUGUUCAUGAAGGACAGACUGUCUUGUUGGUCAUAGCACCCCAUGAACCUAUUAUAGUUUAUAGGACAAAUGAGAUGUUCAACAAAUAUUUGUUUAGGAAUCAAUUGUGUCAUAAACACCGCAGCAGUGAUUCUAACCAUGAAUAGCAUAUGGGAGCAUUGUGUGAAUAGUGAGACAUUCUGUAUGCAAAACUGGGUGUGUGUGUGUGUGUGUGUGUGUGUACCUAGAUUUAUCUGUGUUUUAAAGAGAGAAGAUCCAUAUCUUUAAUCAGAUUUCUGAGUGAUCUUUGUUUCUCCAGUUAUAGAUUGGACUUUUCCAGAGUGCAGACUUGUGCAAUAUUGUUUUGAUUAAAACAAAGAAAACUUAGGAGAAAGGGUUAUUCUUCAAAGCACACUGCUCACUCAUGGAGGCCCUUCGGUGUGGUGUGCUGAGUUCAAGGGCGGGCAGCAGGGCCAGUCCUCACAUAGCUCAUAAUUUGUUAGAGAAUAUAUAUUGGAUGAUUACACUCAUUAUGAAAUACGUUCCUCAAAAUUAUGUACUAAAUGUUUUUAGGUUUAGAAGGCAUACUCAAUAGAUUUGCCGUGUGUUGGCAAAAGUCAGAUGAAAUUUACUAGGAUUCAUGAGUUCUUGCUUUGGUAAAAGCUGGGCUAAAUGUACUGGGUAAAGCAAAGGUGAGUAAGACGUGAGUCUUGCCCUGAAGGAUUUUUUAAUCUAUAAUUGUAGUUUUCAAUUCUGGCUUUACAUUAAAAUCAUUUUCGGCAAGGGGAGAUAAAUAGGUAAAAUGUUUUUACUCACAUGGAAAAUUAUUAAAAUGGUACAUUUUGGAGAAAGAUCUGGCCUUUUCUUGCAAAACUAAACAUGCCCUGUGAUUCCAGCAAUUGAAGAGAAAUGAAAACAUAUCUUACUGGAACAAUCAUAGCAGCUUUAUUCUUUAUAUCCUCAAAUUGAAAACAACUGAGAUUCUCAACAGCAGGUAUUGGAGAAAGGUGGUAUGGUGUAUCAUGCAGGAGAUGCCUACUCAACAGUGAAAAGGAAUCAGUAGCUAAUAACACGUCAUAGGGAAAGCAGCCUUACACAGUGAAUUUGUUACAUGAAGUGUGAGGGUGCAAAACUAAUAUAUGGUGGGGAAAAGAUCAAAACAGUCGUUUACUCUGGGGAUGUGAGGAUGGGCAUCUCCUGCGAAUGGGCAUGCAGGACCUCUCUGGUGAUGCUAAUGUUCAUAAGUGGGAGGGGAAAUAUCACUGGGGAGAUAAAAGCAAAAGCUUGAUGUCUUCUGUCUUCUCACCCUUCACUUUCACCAAUUUGUGAUCUGCAGGAAUGUAGCCUAUAGGUAUUUUUAAAAGUUCCUCAAGUAUUCUGAUGGUCAUGAGAUUUGAACUAUUAAGUAGUAUUAUUAGUUCAUUGGUUUUGUAUUGCUAUGAUAACAAAUUACCCUAAAUUUAGUGGUGGCUUGAAACACCAAGGAGUUAUUGUCUCAUCAUUCUGUAGGUAUGAGGUUUGGCUUGGCUUGGCUUGGCUUGGCUGGCUUUUCUGUUCCAGGUUUCACAGCCUUGACUUAGGCUUAGGCAGGGCUGUAUUUCUUUGGGAAGAUUCUGAAGGCAAUCCAUUACCAAGUGCAUGCAAGCUGUUUGCAGAAUUCUGUUUCAUUUGAUCAUAGGGCAGAGGUCCCCCUUUCUCGGUGGUCAUUGGCCCAGAGGUUCUUCUCAGCUUCUGGAGAUGGGCUCUGGUCCUCUUCUUCUGUCUUAGAAGCCAGCAAUGGUGAACUGUCUGACUCCCGCCCCUUCCUGCCUCACUGCUCUCCUGGUCUUCUCUUGUGUGUGUAGCAUAUCCCAAGUGACUGUUCUGCCUUCCUCUUUGGUUUGAAGGGUGUAUAGAGUUGCUUGCAUGGAUCUUACCUGGUUAAUUGAGGGUGACCACCCUGUACUAAGGUUAGCUGAUUUCCAACCUUAAUUCCAUUUGCCAAGUUCCCUCCUAGCAGUAAAGAGGUAAAAAUUUGAUGAAAUAAUCUUGGAGGCCAGCAUCUGUAGAUCUGCAGAUAGUAUAGAAUUACAUGUGAAAUGCAGAGAGCUUUCAGAAUAAAGAGAAAUGUCUUCUAAUUAGGGAGGUUUGGGAAAACCACCUUCAAGAUGGCCACGUUCCCAUGUCUUUAAAGUCAGUGCUGAUGGAUAUGCUGUGGCACCAGAAUGGGAGAGAUUUGGGGGUGGGGGUGACAGUUUAAAUGCCAUUGAGGAUAGAGAAAGGGUGACAGUGUGUGAUGUACUGAGAACAUCCCUUACCCAUGAGCACACUCCUUGUGUGUUAAUUAUUAUAUACAGGCCAUGGUAGCAUAAAGUCAGACUUACCUAACAUUAAAGUAGAAAAAUAGGAAUGUCAAAAAGUAUAUCAUUCCAUGAGCAAAAGUACCAUUUUUAAAGGACUGGGGCAGUUUUAUGAUGUGACAUUUUUGUGUGUGUGCCUUCUCCUGGACCGUUAGAACUGAGUAGAAUUACAUGUGAAAAUCUAAAAGCUAUUUCCACAUUUUUAAGUUUCUCAAAAUUCCAAAUUUAUAGAUACAAAUCAGGAAAUGUGGACUUACAUAAAAUAUACUCCUCUUUAUAUUGCCCCCUGGGAGUGGUCUCUGACCACCUUCUAGUGGACUUUGCUGCUUUGGAAGGUAUAAUAACAUGGGGACAGACCUAGCUCAUGUGGGGAGCUGCAGAGGUCAUGUGGCUUCUCUCUAGUGUCUGCAAAUUGUAGCCAUAUCACCAUUGAUUUUAAUAGAAAUUCCACAUCAAGGAAGAACCUUUUUAUUAGCAUUACUUUGUGUCAUCUAUCUUCCUUUUUAUCCAGUUUGUUUGUAAGCUUUUAAAAAGGAUCAUGUGUGUCUUUUUGUUUUGAAAGGCACACAUCUAUACCCCAAAAAAGUCACAGAAUACUUCCUGCCAACCUUUUAAAACUACAAAGCAAACUGCCUGCGGCUGUUUGUAUCCAUCUUCUAAAGGGUAUAUACAUUAGGGUUAAAAUAUUGAAACCAGCUCGGCUAGCUGGUGUUUUGUAGAAGCCUAAUCUGAGAAACAGAAUGGAGACAGGAAGAUCCAUGGCAGAAGGCCAAGGAGGUCUUUCACUUUCCUUUGGUGGUUCACGUUUUGCUCUUAAAAUUUCUGGUGCAUACUACAUGUUUCAUGGAGUUUCCAAGGCUGCCUUCACAUCCCCUGGGUAUUUGUUUUCCUUUCUUCCUUCACACCUUCCUCUCGAACCUGAUGUAUUGGACCUGGUGACCAAACCUGUCUUCCUCUGGCAAACCUUGGUGCAGAGUAAAUUUCACAGUGGUUCCUUUGGGCACUUGGCUCCUGAAAAACACAAUCCCUGUUCCUUCGCCAUGAAGCCAUCCUCUGCCUCCGUCUCAUAUUCAGAGACCUCAGGGCCUGUUUCGGAUUCUUUCAUUUUCCAUUCAUUUUUCACAUCAACAUGCCAAGGUGUGUCUUCUGGUAGCUUGAAAUGGUGAUUAUUAUUGUUUUUUUUUUAUUCCUACGAUGCUGCUGAUUUUGAGGAUGUAUUUUUAUGCCAUUGUACCCUAUCAAUUACUCAUAUUUCUAGUUUCUUUAGGGAAAAUUGAUUUCAAAAAAAUAAAACCAAACUUUGAGGAGCCCUUUUAGAUAAUUUCACAUGCUGUGUUAUAAUAUUUCAUUUGUUUGUAAUAUUUAAUUAAAAACUUACUAUAAGGAUUCUUCCUGUGUAACCUUCCAGAUCAUGGUGUCAGUUCUUCUACUGGUACUGACACACAUUUUGUUGGAAAGCCCAAACUCCAACUUCCUUUUUAAACUUAGCAUUAAGAAAUGGAGAUUUGAGGGAAAUAUCUGUAUUUGGGAAGGCCUUUCAACCUUAAAAUCAUCAGAUUUAGCUGGACAUAGUGAUGCAUACCUAUAAAUCCCAGUGACAGGCUGAGGCAGGAGGAUUGCAAGUUCAAAGCCAGCCUCACCAACUUAGAUAGGCUCUAAGCAACUAGUGAGACCGUGUCUCAAAUUAAGGGGAGGAAAAAAAGGCCAGGGAUGAGGUUAAGUACCUCUGGAUUCAAUCUCUGGCAUCCCCCCUCCCCAAAUCAGCAGGUUUCUAAGCUUCACAUUAUUUUCUUUGAGCAAAAGGAGCACUUCUACUUAAAAACUGAAGCUACACGUGCAUAGAGCAUACACACACAUGUGCACGUGUGGAGACUCAUCCAUGCUCAGGGGCGGUCCUUCCCCAAGUCCCUCUCUGAGUAUGUCCUUCUGACUGAUUUGCUGGAGGAAGUCAGUUUGUUGACUGGCCAUUGUUGAGAUACAACAUGAACUUCAUUGUAAAUACAAGUAAAGUAAUUUCUAAUUCAGUGAAGUGGAAGGAAAAAAACAGCGUAAGCAGUUUUCAAGAGUAAUAUUUUUAACUGGACACUGUGGCUGAAGAUAACACUGCAGAUGCACCAUGAACACUACAGACGCACCGUGCUUUCUCCCUGAGAGUGAAGGCUGGCACGACCCUGGGACACUGAAGUGCAGUUGCCAUUUCUAGCAUGAGCUCAAGUCUUAAUGCACAGGUAGACACAGAUAUAGAGGGGGGUGCACAUGUGGGCUAGUAUUUCCUGGUUCUUCCUGUUAAGAGAACUUAGAAGCAAUGACACCUCAGUAACAAUUACCAACUUAGUAUAUAGACCUUGUUUUCUAAGUAUUGUUAGAAAAAGGAGCCGAGACUCCUUGGAGAAGGUCUAGUGCUGGAGCAGGGAAAAUGCAAGAUGAGUCUAGAACAUCUUGUGUUGCCAAAAAGAAAGGGACUGCCCAUAGAAGGAGAUAGGGCUGCCAAAAGAUCAACCUGGAGGAGAGCCUAAUAACCAAAGAUGGAACAGUUUGAGCAAGAAAAUGAUAUAGUAUUAGAUUAUACCCACAGAAUUAAAUAAAUGUCCAUUGAAUAAGUAAAUGGGGGAAUUGGGAACUUCUUAUUGCAGAAGAAUUUUAAUAAAUGCAAAAAGAAAAAAUACUGCUAUAUUAGGCAAAUACCACAGCAAUUAUUUUUGCACAUAAGGUCCAUUGAUUGGUGCCAAAAUUAGUGGGUGAAAGUUUGAGGAGAAACAGGAUGGUUGCAUAGUCUGAAAGUAUCUCUCUACUCAGAUACUUAAUUACGAGAGGAGAAAUGGUAACUUUACCUGUGGGCAUCCAUCUUAAUGGAGCAGUCAAGGUUACCAUAAUCAGCAAUGAGAUCUGGACCCCAGGAAGCAUUUGGAGAGGCUCCUCUUAGUAUCCUUUCCCAAAAUGUCUUGAUUCAGAAAAUGUCACCCAAACCCAAAUUGGGCUAUGUUAUACAGAAUAACUGGCCAUUCCUCUUGAGAAAUAUUAAAGUUCUGAAACAGCAAAAUGGUAGUAGUGGGAAAAUUAGUGAAAUAUGAGUGCAGUCUGUUGUUGAGUACUGGGCCAGUGUUAAUGUGUUGGUUUGGGUGAUUAUGGUUAUGCAAGAUGUUGAUAUUGGGGAGGCUGGCUGAAGGUGGACUUCAGUACUCCUUGUACAACUUUAGUAAGUCUGAAAUUAUUUAAAAAGAAAAAGAUGCUAGUUAUGUGUACAAAUAUGUGUACAAGGAAAUUAAUUGUAGCAUUGUUUGCAAUAGCAAAAAACAGUAAUGCAGAUGUCUGUCCGUGAAGGUUAGGUAUACCUUAUUCACAUAAUUGACAUAGCUGCAAAAAAGACCACACACAGUUACAUGUGCUGCUGCUUAUAUUCUAGUGAAGACAAAGGUUUAGGAGCGCACAGUCUCUGUUCAGGGUGCUUGUGUUCUAAAACCAUCCCUAAUACUUAAUAAUGAACUCUAUGACCUGGGGGAAAAUUAUUCCUCUUCCCUCUGUUCAUCAGUUUCCUCAUCUGUAAAUUGGGAAUAGAAUCCACUUCAGGGUUGUUUAUGGACGUUAAUGUGAAAAUCCAUGUGAAGCCCUGAGGGUUAAUACUUAUCACAUAAUAAAUACUUGAUAACAAAUUUUUGUACUCAGAUCAUUUUAAGGGAAUAAGUGCGGGAAAAUAAUGCAAGAUUGAUUAUAGAAUGAUCCCAUUUGUUAAAAGUCAUGUGUAAAUCUGGAAGAGUAGACACUAAUGUAUUAAAUCUCGUGUUGGGGAUGCUGCAGAUUAGGUAAUGUGUACUUUGUAAAUAAAACAUUUAAAAAUGUAUAUUCCAAAAAGUAUGCAGUUAGAGAAAUAUACAGAGAAACGUUUAAAAGAAGCUUACUAUCAGUAUUUAUUAAAUAAAAAUAACUAAUGAAAACUGUCUCUGUCAGGCUAAAGGCACUGGCUAGUCUCCAAGGUCAUUGACUUGCCUGUCACAGUGGAAGGCCCGAGAAACCCCGCUCUGCUCUCAGCCAUCCCUAAUACUUAAGAGUGAACUCUAUGACCUGGGGGAAAAUUAUAGAUUAUCAUUCUAUAAUCAAUCUUGCAUUAUUUUCCCACUUAAAACUGGUGGAUACUUCCAAUUCUUCAGAACAUGGGACUUGACUUAGAAAAUUGACUUAAUGCUCCGGAGUGUAAUUGUGGGUUGUGAGAGGUUAUCGCCAGGAUGGGUGCCAUCUGCUCUUUGUCUUGAUGGGAAAUAAACCCCAAAGCCUAAAUUGUAGAAUUUGCCCAGAAAUAAAUAAUACUGGUGAUUUUCCAUUGAAUGGUUAAAACAUGGAGUAGAGCACCAAAACGGUGCUGUGUCUGUGAGGCUGAGGCUAGAGAGGCUCCGACGUCCAAUGCUGCUGGCCUGUGAGGUGCUGACAGCUACGGAGGUCCAGGGAAGCCAGACUGCUGGAUUUCCUUCAAAGGCUGUAUGUAUUACCACACUACACACAGGAAUACAUGGAAAUAGCUCUGUAAGUAACAGUGUAUAUUUUCAAAGAAUGUGCUUAUAGUUUGGCUGUGACUAAUCAACUUUUUUUUAUUAUAAAGGCCUCCACCCCCCACCAUGCUUGUGUCAAAACCUGUAUUUUGAUGUUAUAAUGCUAUGGUCCUUUGUCUGGCCACUCUGACUUAAGUGGAUACAGAUCUGUGCAGCAGAUUAAGGUCCAUCUAUCUUUGUGGGUUUUGGCUAUAUUAGGUUUCCUUUAAAAACUGACACAUAAUAAUUGUAGAUAUUUAUGGAAUAGCAGGUGGUAUUUUGAUAGACGUAGACGUUGUAUAAUGCUCAAAUUAGGACAUGCUAGGUUUCUACAAGGACCACAGUGUGGACCUGGAUGAAACUAAGAUGAAAAAGAAAUGUAUGUCAAGGAUGUAGGAAGACCAUCCCAAGGAAUUAGAAUAAAAUGUAAAAUGCU